rnacentral:rRNA from 1 species
UACGUAGGCAGCGAGCGUUGUUCGGAGUUACUGGGCGUAAAGGGUGUGUAGGCGGUUGUUUAAGUUUGGUGGGAAAUCUCCCGGCUCAACUGGGAGGGUGCGCCGAAUACUGAAUGACUUCGAGUACGGGAGAGGUGAGUGGAAUUCCUGGUGUAGCGGUGAAAUGCGUAGAUAUCAGGAGGAACACCGGUGGUGUAGACGGCUCACUGGACCGUAACUGACGCUGAGACACGAAAGCGUGGGUAGCAAACAGG